UGCAAGUCGAACGGUGAAGUCUCAGCUUGCUGGGAUGGAUCAGUGGCGAACGGGUGAGUAACACGUGAGCAACCUGCCCUCCACUUCGGGAUAAGCCUUGGAAACGGGGUCUAAUACCGGAUAUGAGCCUGCAUCGCAUGGUGUGGGUUGGAAAGUUUUUCGGUGGGGGAUGGGCUCGCGGCCUAUCAGCUUGUUGGUGGGGUGAUGGCCUACCAAGGCGUCGACGGGUAGCCGGCCUGAGAGGGCGACCGGCCACACUGGGACUGAGACACGGCCCAGACUCCUACGGGAGGCAGCAGUGGGGAAUAUUGCACAAUGGGCGCAAGCCUGAUGCAGCGACGCCGCGUGAGGGAUGACGGCCUUCGGGUUGUAAACCUCUUUCAGCAGGGAAGAAGCGCAAGUGACGGUACCUGCAGAAGAAGCGCCGGCUAACUACGUGCCAGCAGCCGCGGUAAUACGUAGGGCGCAAGCGUUGUCCGGAAUUAUUGGGCGUAAAGAGCUCGUAGGCGGUCUGUCGCGUCUGGUGUGAAAUCCCGAGGCUCAACCUCGGGCUUGCAUCGGGUACGGGCAGACUAGAGUGCGGUAGGGGAGACUGGAAUUCCUGGUGUAGCGGUGGAAUGCGCAGAUAUCAGGAGGAACACCGAUGGCGAAGGCAGGUCUCUGGGCCGCAACUGACGCUGAGGAGCGAAAGCAUGGGGAGCGAACAGGAUUAGAUACCCUGGUAGUCCAUGCCGUAAACGUUGGGCACUAGGUGUGGGGCUCAUUCCACGAGUUCCGUGCCGCAGCUAACGCAUUAAGUGCCCCGCCUGGGGAGUACGGCCGCAAGGCUAAAACUCAAAGGAAUUGACGGGGGCCCGCACAAGCGGCGGAGCAUGCGGAUUAAUUCGAUGCAACGCGAAGAACCUUACCAAGGCUUGACAUGCACCGGAAACACUCAGAGAUGGGUGCCCCGUAAGGUCGGUGCACAGGUGGUGCAUGGUUGUCGUCAGCUCGUGUCGUGAGAUGUUGGGUUAAGUCCC
rnacentral:rRNA from 1 species